AUUGAACGCUGGCGGCAGGCCUAACACAUGCAAGUCGAGCGGAGCGGCGGACGGGUGAGUAAUGCCUAGGAAUCUGCCUGGUAGUGGGGGAUAACGUCCGGCAACGGGCGCUAAUCCCGCAUACUCUAAGAUGAGCCUAGGUCGGAUUAGAUAGGUGGUGGGGUAACGGCAUACCAAGACGCCGUUCCGUAACUGGUCUGAGAGGAUGAUCAGUCACACUGAAACUGAUACACGGUCCAGACUCCGACGGGAGGGAGCAGUGGGGAAUAUUGGACAAUGGGCGAAAGCCUGAUCCAUCCAUGCCGCGUGUGUGAAGAAGGUCUUCGGAUUUUAAAGCACUUUAAGUUGGGAGGCGUUACCAACAGAAUAAGCACCGGCUAACUUCGUGCCAUCAGCCGCGGUAAUAC
rnacentral:rRNA from 1 species